CCAGAAGAGAAGUGGCAGCAGACACAGUAGCCACCGUGAGGAGGAAGGCAAUGCUCUGAGGCCACACAACGCAGGCCAAGGGGCGAUUCCGUGCGGCUAUUGGCUUGGCCCUGGGAAGUGCUGGCCUGAUGUGAUGUCUCAAUGCAUGAGUAGCACCAAAAAGGAACUGGGUUUCUGCAUGAAAAUAAUUUGUAUCAAAGGGCUUCCAAGAACAGCAUUAUUUUAAUGGAAUAUAAACUUCACAAGACCUGGUAGAUAGCCUAUCUUGUUCGUGGAUAUAUCUUUGGCACUCGAUAGAUUGUGCCGAGGCCACAGACAUAUUCCCAGUAUUUGCCACGAGAGUCCCAGAGCCAAGUUCCUCAUGCCUGAAGUUCUCCUGUGACCUAGGAAAGCCUGGGAGUCAGCACACAUCAGUGUUGGGGCUGUCUGUGAUUUUACCAAGAUCGUGCUGCAUCAUGUAUGUAAAGCACACGUGUGGAAAGAACUCAGGGACACAGUCUCCUCUCACCUUGUAGUUCCACCUUGUUGACCUCAUCGUGUUAACUCUGAUGUUGCAGAGAUAUCACUAUUUGCAUUCUCAAGAGCCUCUCGAACACAAAUUCCCACCAAGGAGAUGGAAGGAGAACAGGUUAGUCUUUAGAAGAUGUUUUGGAAAAGUAUUUCCAUCUAUAUCACAUUUUUGGCAGUUUCCAGAAUAGUAGGUCCUGACAAUGUCCCAACAGUCAUGAUGGGUGCUAUUCUGAACAAAGAUCUUUUAAAAAGGAUGCCUAUGAUCAUCAUCAAAAAUAGUAAAAAUUUAUAAUUUGGACUUGUGAAUUUUCCCCUUUCUACUUGAAACUUGAAUACUUUUUUAAAAAAGUCUUUGUAAAGAAGAUUUUCUUUUUCUUUUUGGAUAUGAGAAUUGUGGCCCCAAGUUCAAUCCAAACCAAAUUUCAGAUGUGAAAUUACAACCCCUACCUCUGAAUGGAAACCGUGGAGCCCCUUAGCCAGAGUGGCAAUUGGCAGUCCUACCUUGGUCCCCGAGGACACACACAGUGGGACACCAACCAAGAAAAAGAAGAGGGAAGGAACACGAGGGGAAAUGCUAAAACCAUCUGUACAGAGUUGGGUUUUGUAUGCUGCUGGUAGAACAGUUUGCCCUGGUUGUCUUCUGUAGGGCCAGUCUCCCUCCCAUGACUGCAUUUAAAAGAAUAAGUAGCAAAUGUCUCCUACACCAGUGAUUUCAGAGAGCUGGUGCAGUUUACCACAGGGAGAGUCGGAGUGGGGCUCAGGAAAGGGGCUCUAUCCUGGCUUCAUCAUCAAAGCACCAAGCAUUUUGCUGCAGGUUCCUUGCCCUCCCUGAGAUCCAGAAGCAUCAUCUGUAAAUGUGGACAUUAACACUAUACCCUCUUCACUGGUAAUGGUGAGAAAAUCACACUGCUAUGUACCUAGUGGAAUUUCAGUUUUCCUGGCAGAGGUAGAGGCCCGGGUCUCACACUCCCAAAUACUUAGACUCCAGGGUGCUGAUGAAGAGGGAGCCCACAUUAUUGACCCAUCCUCUAUUCCUCUCUCAUUCCUCUCCCCAGAAUAGGGGAGAAUUAUCCCACAACAUGGGUGCUGACAUUCCUUCCCUGGGCUCUGUGCCCACCAGCCCUGCCUUCACAUGAUUUAGACAGCCUUGAGAGCAGAAUCUACCUGGUUUGGUGCCUCGUUCCCACUCAUCCUGCUCCAGAAGCAAGGGGAUUAGGGGGCCCAGCCCAGGCCUGAAGGAUGAAAGCCCUUUGCCACCAUCAGCCUGUGGUCUGAGUCAGGGACCAGAUCCUAUAACUCUGUUUCAUAGUCCCAGUGGUCACUUUUAUUUUCCAGCAACAGCUGAGAUUGUUCUUUUUGAAUUUCUUAUUCUCUAAAAGAGGGAAAUUGAUUUAAACCCUUAGACAAAUACGUGAGUCAGAAGUUGGUUACAAUGGGUUUGAGUAAAAACAGAGAGAUAAAUCGAAGCAAAGGAAUUAUGGGAUAAUUAAAGCAAAAAUUAAUGGGCCCCUCCUCCAUCUCAGUAGAGAUACACAUCUCUGGUUACAAUUCUGCCACGACACUGCUGUGGUUUAUUGUCCAAUUAAGUGGUUGUCAAUAUGGUCUUUUCUGGGGCCUGGUUCACCACAUGGUGGUCUUAGCUGAAGAUAGACUUUAGCAACCCAUGCUCAGUGAAAUGCCUUAGGUUUCUAUUAUGUCACUCUCUGGUCAUCAUUUCUUUCUUCUUACUUUUCUUCCAGAACACAUUUAUGUAUAACGUAUGUAUGGAGUCUUCAAAAGAGCCCAACUUAUAUAAGCAGUACAGGCAUAGGUACAAAUAGAAACUGCCCCAGUAUUUACUUGCAGAUUAUUUUCUACAUUUUUUCCAUUUCUAAAUCCUCCCAAAAGACAAAUUUUCUUUGGGAACAGAGAAUAUAUUUCUCUUUAAGUGUGUAAAAGGAGCUACAGAAAAUUCUCCAGACACAUGUUUAAAAUGUGUGGUUGAACUGGCAUCUUUACUUGGAAAUGGCCAGUGGUGGAGAAUUUUUAAGUUUGUCUGAUGAUACCUCAAAGAGAUUUUUUUUAAAUGGAACAUUAGGCCCUCAGUUAUGAAUUGUUCCCACAUUUCAGAUCUGCCCAGUGGAACUUUCAACUUUAAAUUGUUUUUGUUAUUAAAGAAAAAAAUCAUUUAUUCAUUUAUAAAGUCUCAUUCUUCUUAGUGUUUUGACUUUAGAGAAGGAUUUAAUUUAGAAAGUUAA